rnacentral:rRNA from 1 species
AGUAACGCGUGAGGAACCUGCCUCAAAGAGGGGGACAACAGUUGGAAACGACUGCUAAUACCGCAUAAGCCCACGGCUCGGCAUCGAGCAGAGGGAAAAGGAGCAAUCCGCUUUGAGAUGGCCUCGCGUCCGAUUAGCUGGUUGGUGAGGUAAUGGCCCACCAAGGCGACGAUCGGUAGCCGGACUGAGAGGUUGAACGGCCACAUUGGGACUGAGACACGGCCCAG